GUUGGAAAAAAACACAUGACACACGGGCACGUAUGCAUCGAAGGAGAGCCGGGGUACGGACGCCACCGCCGCCACCUGCGGAUGGUCUUCCUGUCCGUCCAUCCGCGCAGCCCACGCGGGCGAGCUGCCGAUCUGGCUGGGCUGCCGGGCCACGCAACGGACGGCAGCGGUUCGAGCAACUCCUCGACGCAGGGGAAAAGGUUGGCGGCGCUGGAGUUCGUCGGAACGGGCAGGCGGCCGGUGGGUGAAGCGAGGCCACGGCGCCGGCGCGAGUAAUACGGGCGGAUCCGGGGGCGGCAGCGACCGAUCUGGCUGCUGGUGCGGCGGCUUGCUCCGGUGGCGACGGCGUCCUGCUCAUCCAUAGAAAGAGAGACAGGGCAUGAGGGAGAAAGGAAUAAAGGAGAAGGAGCAGGGGGCGCAGAGUCAGGGAGGCGGUCGCUAGCGGUGGCAGCUCCGGCGACCGGCCGGCGGGCUUGCCAGGCAAGGCUAUGGAUUACGCUAGCCUGAGAUUCAAUAGAGACACGGUGAUUCUGGUCGGAGCCGUGGCUACGUGAUUCUGGUCGGCGUGCAUCCAUAGUCAGAGGACGCCGAGCCUUCCUCGCUGCCAGCAACAUCAGCUCGUCUCGGCAUGAGGUCUGCACGCUUACCUUGCCUUUCUAAUAGAGACUGAACUGCAAUUUUUGUCUGCGCUGCUUCUUAAGGUAGUCCAUGGUUUGUACAAAUAACCACAUGUAAAUCUUAAUUUAGUUGAUAUUGGAAAAGAUUGUUUCUUUCGAACCAUAUAUGUGGAGCAACUAGAAAUAGUACGUAUGUGAUUUUCCCAGGCUCCCACAUUAGACCAGUGCUCUAAUGUUUGUUCCAGGUUGAGCAUGGCAAUAAUGUACAGUUUGAACUUCGUGAUGGCAGAACUUUUUUGCCUUGAAGUAUUCUGUGAAUUACACCAUGAAUAGCAACAACAUCAGGCCAUUUGAGAGAAGGGGUGUCCCUGGAGUUCUCCCUAAAUCUUAUUGCAUUCUUAGUGACAAUGAGGAAUUAUUAUUCACUUGAGAAAAUAAAGAUUAAAUCGGUGAGGCUCUCAAAAAUGAAAUGACUUUCUGAGCUCGGCAUUGACUUUUUGAGCUAGAUAUUGACUUUGAGUAGCACAAUAUAGGUCCUAUCUGAAGCCUUCUGCGUGCCUGUUACAAUGAUCGUUUCAUUUUCCUUUGUAUAUUAACCAGCGAAUAUUAUUGUCUGCUAUAACUGCUGAAAGAUGUCAUAUUCUUUUGUUAUAAUGGUGUUUGCAGUAGGAGUGUAUGCCUCUCAUUCAAAGAAGAGGCUCAACAAUCUUUUGGAUGGGCUUAUGAUUACCACAUAUAUGAUCUUAUGAAGCAGGAGUUGAGAACUACAAAAUCCAUAUAUUCCUAGAAUGGAGCUGGUUGAAGUUGGGCCUUCAAUGGACAUGGUAGUUAGGUGGCACCGUCGUUUAGUAAAGCCAAUUUUUGAUGAGGAAAUGCACCAAAAAAAACUUUAGUGGAAGUGGAUUAGAUUGUUUUGUAGUCAUAUGCUCUUGAGAAAUUUUGCGCUUUCUUUAUUUCUUCUGAUUAUAAUUCUUUGUUUAUUUCUAACUGACAUGAUAUGCAAAAGAAAAUCCUGUGAUUUGUUUGCCCUCUCAUUGACCAUUUAAUUUUUCAGUCAUAGCUAUAUACAAAGAAGUAUUGUACAUAUAGUCAAGGUUUUUGAGUCGCCUAGCCAAGUCGAGUCGCCAUGCCUCCGACUAGUGGCUCGCUGCGAUUAGUCUGCGACUCGUCGUGAUUAAUCGCCCCAAGUCGCCCCAGGUGUUAAGAGGAGGAGGAGGAGGGGGAAGAGGAGGGGGAGGAGGGGGGAAGAGGUGUUGUUGCAGGCGGAGGAGGGGGAAGGCAGCUGCUUGGAGUAUAAUUCAGCUCGGAGAAGGCAGCAGCAGCUCGUAGGAGCAAUGGAGGCGGCGAUUCUGAUGUGGGAUGGGAGCACGUGUCUUGCUCCUCCUCUGUUUCGUGCUAGAGAGCUGGCCCAAUAGGCCCAUUAUGUAACCCUAGCUUCCAGAUAAAAAUCCCAACCGUCCAUAUGCUCUAAUCUGAACCGUGCAUCUGCUCCCAUGUGCCUUUCUCCUUCGUCUCUUCCGUGCUUCUCCUCGUACAGGCGGCGCACUCUCCAGCUUCGUCUCCUCCUCCCCUCCCUCGAACUCUGGCCUCCUCACCUUCCCAGUCUUCCCUCCCUUGGCCUUGCUGAAGCAAGCCGCCCUGCUCUGAGGUCCUAGUCACCCGACUAGUCGUCGACUAAUCGUCGACUAGCCUACCAGUCGCGCGACUCGCUCCUCAAGCCAAGUCGCCUGCGCAAGCCAACCUCGCUCCAACAACUUGGCGAUUAGUCGGCGAUUAGUCGGCGACUCAAAAACCUUGCAUAUAGUUUUGUGUUUUCGGAAACGUCUAAAGGCUUGUUACAUGCAUCAUUUUCUCUUCCAUAUCCUUCAUCUGAAACUGAAAAUACGAACCAUUUUGUUGAUAUGAACAUUAGUUGCAAGGUGAAUAAAUAGUGGUCGACGAUGUGGCUGGAUGUACAUGAGCAUAUGUUUUAUCUUUGACGCCAUUCAUUUUGAAUCAUUAGAAUAAUAAAAUAGGUUUGUUUGGAUAAUUAUUUUCCAGGUUUCUAAACACAUUUAUUUAUCUAUUUUGUAUCCACACAUAUGUUUCCCUAAAUAAAAUGACUGUACAAUUGUGUGAACUGAGUGGCUGGUCGUUACUGUAGAUUAAAUUUCUCACAUUAAGAAUCUUUGCCUGAUGCUACAAAAAAAAUCUAUGUUUUGUAGCAGGAUUAAUGAUCAAAUAUAUCCUUUUUAUUGUAAAUAUUUUAGUCUGCUACUUUGUUCAUUAAUUUUUCUGGGUAUUUAUGCUUAAGUUUUAUUUCAAAGCAAAAUCAUAUUGAGCUAUCUACAAGUUAGAAUUGUCCAAAACGGUUUUUGUAACAUUGUAUAUCAUGUGUUUUCUCUUUUAUUCAUAACAUAAUAUGCAGUCACACAAUUUAUAUCUCGGUUGUGAAUUCCAGAGGGAAGGAUAGCCUUCCUGGCAGUUAGAGCUUCGUCACUUGCUGAUCUAACAGUAUAGACAAGCAAUGCAAGCCAACCAAGAAAAAUAGUUAGGGAAGCACCGAGUUCGCCGGAGGUAGCAGAACGUUUGUCGAGCCAUCCAAUAUUGCCAACGGUGGCUACACCAGAGAUAAUUUGCUUCAGUUAAUCGAACUACAUGCUGAAACAUGUGUAUUGUUUCUCAAUAUAUUGGGCAUCAAUUCACCCCUCAUGAGAUCUCUGAAUUUUCUACGCAUAUUGUAUUUGCUGAAUUAUUUCCUCCAGAUAACUAUGCUUGGAUUCACAAAUGCGUGCAAUGCUUUCAAGUAGAGGUUAGUUCAAUACUUAAGUUGUGAUAUUCCACUUUCAACUUUUUGGUCCUAGAAGUGUAAUACUUGGUAGGUUAGCUGCAAAAGCGGAAUGUAUAUGGCCUGAAUUUAUAUUUCAGAGUGUAUAAUCUGAUUCAGAGUAUUU